GCGCUGCCCCGGCGAGGGCCCGACUUGUGGUGCGGGCAGGAGCGGCCCGAGCGCGGCCCCGCUCUGCUCGUGUCCGCCUCCCGCCGGGCGCGGCAGGGCCCGAUGGCGGCCGGGCUGGGGCCGCGGCUGCUGGCCUUGGCCUUGGCCUUGGGGCCGGCCGGCGUGUGUGCCGAAUUGAGUCUGGUGGAGUCUGGUGGAGGUCUGCGAGCACCUGGAGAUUCCGUGCAUCUCUCCUGCCAGGGAUCCGGAUUCAGAUUUGCAGAUUAUUCUGUCUUGUGGUACCGUCAGGCACCCGGUGGAAGUCUCGAGUGGGUGUCCUACAUCCACUAUGAUGGUAGCACAAUACAGUACGGCAAAGCGGUGGAGGGCCGAGCCACAGCUUCCCGGGACAAUUCCCAGUCCAAGUCUUCUCUGUCCCUGCGUGCCCUGGUACCCCAGGACUCUGCCCACUACUUCUGUGCUGUUCGCACAGGGACAGGAAAUCCAGCUGAGCUCUAACACAAACCUACUCCCAGGGCCCCUUGCCUUCUCUAGGUGUGCCACUCCCACAGAGAGCAGGGAGGAGCAGCAGAACUGUAUGGAGCUGCUGAAGAGGGCAGAGAAUUGCCUUCAGCUCAGCCCUUUCCCACAUUGCCUGUAGGGGCCCAUGGGAUCAACAGCAGUGUCAGGGGCAAAUGGCCAGU